rnacentral:rRNA from 1 species
GUGUCAGCCGCCGCGGUAAUACGUAGGGGGCAAGCGUUGUCCGGAAUCAUUGGGCGUAAAGCGCGUGUAGGCGGCUGAGUAAGUCUGCUCUGAAAGCCCGGGGCUCAACCCCGGGAGGCGGGUGGAUACUGCUCAGCUCGAGUCCGGAAGAGGCGAGUGGAAUUCCUGGUGUAGCGGUGAAAUGCGCAGAUAUCAGGAGGAACACCAAUGGCGAAGGCAGCUCGCUGGGACGGUACUGACGCUGAGACGCGAAAGCGUGGGGAGCAAACAGGAUUAGAUACCCUCGUAGUCC